AAUAGCAUAAAGAAAUGCUAAGAACUUUUAUUAUUCCGCCCAUUUAACAAUUGAGACUUCGGGAUGUGACCUCUUUUUAAAGCACUUGCCACAAGCUCACCUACCAAAAACCUAUGGUGCCACCCCAGAAAGAAAUAAAUUCCUUCUGAGUCCAGCCUAGGUGAAACUCCAGAUGCGGCAGAGAAUGAAUCCCACGAUCGUUACAAAUGAUAAUGUACCUUAUUUUUAUGGAAAAGUAGAUGUGCAUUGACAAAUUGAAGAGAUGGCAUUCUAGAUAUUUCUUGAUCACGAAGAAUUGGCAUAGAUUCAAAUGGUAGAUGUUGUAUUAUCUGCAAAAUAAGCGAUGCAAAAUAUAAGAUAAAUAUUUGUCAGUUAUCAGUAUUAAUGAACAUGGGUGUACGACGAUCGACACUUGUGUGUGUGUGUGUGGGGGGAGGCUCAUAAUAGAAUAUGUAUGCUAUAAUCCGUUGAGAACAAUAAAUUUCGAAAAAACCUUAUCAAUGCAUCCCAUACAUAUAUGAAUAUAACCACGAUAAAACUGCCACAGAAAGUUUCAGUUUUUUGUGACAUUCACUAUGCAUCGGGUUGUCCUAUACACAUUUGUUGUCCCAUAAUCCAAAUACAUAUUUGUGUUAUUUUUUUUUCACGUCAAUGCCAAAUCACUCAUUCCGUUGCUAACGUUUCUGAUCUUACAGUUAAAUUUCACGCUCUGUUAAAACGAAUAAAGAUUCGACGAUUUUAGAAGUAAAAUAUUUAAUAAUGUUAAGCAUUUUUGUCAAAAGAUACAUCGUUCCGUUUGAUAGAUAAUGAUUAUACACUUAGCAACGUAUCUUUACGUGCAUGGAAACGUCACUUUUCAACGGCCACAACGACCGUGACAAACAUUUCCGUUCAACCCUCAACCAGAAUCUGCUGUAUCAAACGAAAACUUUUGACGAACGUUGUGAUAUAAUACAUGCACACAAGGAAUUAUUUCAAAAUGUACCUUAUCAAGAAUCAAGACGACUGGACCUCUAAAUAAUUCAUCAGCUUGGUCAUCACUAAAAUGAAAAUUACACAAUCCGUGGGUAAUUUCACGUGAAUAUCAAGUUGAACUAUAAUUAGCUAAUGUACAUUUUUCUCAUAGCUGUGUUAUUCUAUCAUGAACCUGAACAUGAUGUUUUAAUAAAUAUUUUUCAUCAAA